GUGCUAAGCUCUUGCAGCAGCAGCAAGGAGGCAGGCUGACUGGCAUGGAGUGAGCUGGGCCUCCGAGGAGUGUAGAAGGCAAGGUCGAAGACGCAACAGGCUGAGGGUAAUAAUACAAGGAGUUCAAGAGAGAAAUGCUGUCUGCCUGCUUACCUCUUCAAGACAAUGGUUUGUCUUGAAUAUUUAAAAGGAAUGAAGCUGAUUCUCCUCCCACUGGCCACACUGAUGUGGAUCAAGGCUGUCCCAGGGAAAGAAGCCCAAGGCAUCUGGCCUACAGGCUGAUCUAUCCACCCUCCAGGAAGCAUAGGACAAAGUGACCUGAUCACAGAUAACCAGACCCCACCUGUACUGAUACCAUUUUAACAACUUUUUUACAUGAUCUUUCCUUUGUCUGGUAAAAAAUAACUCACAUACCUAUGCCUUAUAAAGUUAGCCCUACCCUCAGUCCACUGCAGCUCUUCCCUGCCCAUGGGUCCUGUCCCCAUGCUAUUCUCUGAAUAAAAGAGCACUACUGCCAG
rnacentral:lncRNA from 1 species